CUUACUCAGAGCACAUCUUCUCCAGACACCCGUUCACGUAAAGUAAACAAAACACAGGAUCUGACAGCACACCAGCAGUGUAUUCAUGGGAACCAACAGUGACGGACAACAAUGCAACAACCGUAAAAGAGGGAGAAGCACUAAUGGGACCUAUACAGCUGCACCUGAAGGACAAUUCCAGCCAUGUCCUAAGAGAGGAAUUUUUUCUUGCUGUACUGAAGGGAUUAUCUAUGCCAUGAGGUGCCCCUGCAACUUAUUUUACAUCGGGGAGAUUAACAGAAAUGUUUAGAAUGAUGUCGCAGGAGCACAUCGGGGACAUUAAGAAAUAACUCAUAAAUCCUGGUCAUGGACUCUCCAAUAAGUGUAACAAGUACCUCAGGUUCAGAAAAUAUUUAUUCCAUGAAUGAAUGAUAAAACAAACAGCAGGACAGAAAUCAUUAAGAAAUAAAAGGAAGAGAGCUCAACAGCAACACAUUUUAAGGAAUAUCAUGCUAGUAAUUUUUCAUUCUUGCAGAGUACAGUUCUUGAAAAAAUUCAUGUUAAAAUGGGGGGAAAUUCCUUAUUAAAAAACAAACUUUUGUAUAAGGAAUCUGUUUUUAUGUUGUAGUAUAAUACUUUAAUGCCUUUGGGACUGAACUAAGAAAUUAAUUGGAGGUAUUUGAUAUAAUUGUUUUAUUGGAUGAUUAAUUAAUUGUUUUAUAUGUGCUUUUCUAUAUAUAUGUUGUAUUUUAGUGUUGAAUGUUACUCCCUGAAGGCUGGUUGGCCAAGGUGCUAGAUAUACAAAUAAA